rnacentral:rRNA from 1 species
CGAAGGGGGCUAGCGUUGUUCGGAAUUACUGGGCGUAAAGCGCACGUAGGCGGAUCGAUCAGUCAGGGGUGAAAUCCCAGGGCUCAACCCUGGAACUGCCUUUGAUACUGUCGAUCUGGAGUAUGGAAGAGGUGAGUGGAAUUCCGAGUGUAGAGGUGAAAUUCGUAGAUAUUCGGAGGAACACCAGUGGCGAAGGCGGCUCACUGGUCCAUUACUGACGCUGAGGUGCGAAAGCGUGGGGGAGCAAACAGGAUUAGAUACCCUGGUAGUCCACGCCGUAAACGAUGAAUGUUAGCCGUCGGGCAGUAUACUGUUCGGUGGCGCAGCUAACGCAUUAAACAUUCCGCCUGGGGAGUACGGUCGCAAGAUUA